GUCAGGCGUUGUGGCGUGCGCCUGUAAUCCAGUUACUUGGAGGCUCGGGUUGGAGGACGGUGUGAGAUUGGGAGCUCUGUGGCGCUCUGUCCUAUGUCGAUCGGGCGUCCGCGCUAAGCUCGGCGUCAAUAUGGGCAUUCCAGGGGAGCCCGGAGUGGCCAGGUUGUCUAAGGAGGAACGCACCGGGCGAGGCCCGAAAGGGAGCAGCCAAAAGUUCCCACGUUGAUCUAUCGCGGGAUCCAUAACCCUUUUUAUCCACUUUAAAAAUAUUUUUUACUU
rnacentral:SRP_RNA from 1 species